ACGCAGGUCACAGGCCCAAAGCCAGUGACCAGUAUUAGCCUGAACCUCUAUGGAACUGAACCAGCACUGUACACUGUUACUACUACAGUCUUCUUGGGGUUGUAUAGCACCCUACCCUGAUCUUACUGCACACUGGCUGGUAGCAUGCAGUAUCGAUCUAGGCUCUAUCUUCCUCCUUUAUCCAACAUUGGCCGUAGAGACAUGCUCUGACAUGGACAGCACCAGAAAACUGUAGAGCCCAGAAGAUAACCACAGUCUUGAAAUCACAGCGACUCUCUUCUUUGCUUGAUUUUUUGUUGUUGUUGUGAUUGUAUUUUUUUCAUGAAUGUAAACAUUGAUUUUAAUUUUUGGUUUUAAUUAAUUAUUAUUUUUAUUUCUUUUGUCUCUGUUUCCCUCCUGUCUCCACAAGUUUCCAAGAGCUUCGGUAAUCCUCCUUUCUCCUUAAACUUGCUUCUAAUCUCUUUUGUUUCUCUAUUCUUUUUUGUGUCCCUUUUAAAUUCUCUCAACAGAGGGUAAAAGUACUCAAUUGACUAUGUAUUUAAUAUAUACAAAUUUCUGAUUUACUUUAUAUGCUGUUACUUAAGUAUAAAUCUCGUUGAUAUGGUUAAAGGGCCCAAAUUAAUAUUUACCACAGUUUGUCAUUUUCUAGGCUAUGCUAGAUUCUGUUGUUAUUACUGAUUAUGUACUGCUUUGGCCAUGGUUAUUUGUUCUAAUAACUUGCUCUUCCUUGUAUGCCAGGACAGAUGUCUGAGGGUCAUAAACAAUACCGUACUCCAGUCCCACAGAACCAAGGUCUGGGCCAAAUAGGAAGGAAACUGAAGAAGUAGGAUCCUGCAACAGACUGAAACCCUAAAGUCCAGCUGCAGCUAGAAGACGUCUGUGAAAAGUAGUUGUUUCCUAAAGAGUCCUCGAUACUAGUAAUAGAGCUAUCUACCAUAAUCAAUUUACAAGCAACAAUGUGGAAAAUAAAAAUAAAAAAAGGAUUCUUGACUAUGACAAGUUGCAGAGUGUUGGGAAGCAGCUGUUUCAUAUAGAGAUGGUUUGAGACAGGACCCCAUCCAGUGUGGGUUCCUGCGUGAGAUGGCCGACCAGCCACAGCCGCCAACUUCAGAGAUACAACAACUGACCCUCGAUGACAGCCAAGAGUCCGACCAACCACAGCCGUCAACGUAACCCAGUUUCCUUUACAGGGAGACGCUCUAUCUUCUCCCAUCAGUUAUGUAAAACCUUCAGAUGCCUUGAUCUCCUUCCGUUGAUGCUCAUGGGCAAUACCUCUAUCACUAAUGGCACUUAUUCCAUUCCCAACCCUAGCCUCCUCAACGCCACCAGUGGCUCUGGUGGUAUCACCUCAGUGUGCACCGGUGGUCUUACCCAAAUAGCAACUAUCAAUUCACUCUGCUCACAGAGCUUGCCCCCAAAUGACAUCUCCUGGUCACCCUUAGUUAACCUCACUUAUAAAAAAACUAUUCAUAUUUUUCAACAGCCUGUGUUGCCCCCCCUUUUUUACUUCUCUUGCCCACAGGUGCCUCUUUUAACUGCUCUUCGACAAGUACCUGUUACUUAUCCAACUGCUGGAAUGAAACCCCUUCAUAUAUGCUCAUCCUUCACACCCCUUCUGUCCUUUGGGUGCCAAUUAAUAUCUCUGAUUGGGUAGCUCCAUCAUUUCCUAUCCAGCUUUCUUCCACCUCCCUACAGAUACAUAAGAGAGAUUUUGGAGCCUCUGCUAUUAUUAUUACCCUUGUGAUUGCUUUUAUUACAGCUACAGCAGCAAGAGCCACAGCAGCCGUCGCACUCACCCAAUCCACCGUGACCGCUCAGGGACUUAAUAACCUUUCCCAUACUGCCGCUGAAACGUUCCGAGUACAACAACAACUUAACGCCUAUACUCAUAUGGCUCUGCUUAAUCUCCAACAACAGCUUGACCUCAUCGACAAUAAAAUUCAAGACCUCUGACACGUUGCUACCACUGCCUGUGACCAACGCUUUUCAUCGACCUUACUUUGCGUUACGCCAAAACCAGCCAACCUCUCUUCUGCUCGUCUUUCGCUCUGUGAGUGGAUCCUUGGCCCUUAUAACAACACCUACUUCAACCUCUCCCUUUGGCUGACUAAACAAAUACAAACUAUAAACUCUAUCCAAGUGCCUAUUUUAACAGACACUGUCCUCUCUGAUCUUCUACAUAACCUACGGCGCCUAUUCUCACCAGCCAAUUUGCUUACCUUUAGAUUCUUGGGACUUUUAGGACUCCUUGUUAUAAUCGCAAUUCGUAUAUUAUGUACCCAUUUACAACUAAUAACCUGUAAACAGGCUAUGAUGGCCUCAAUUCAAUUGGCUUUUAUAAAAAAAGAGGGGGAGUUUGUGGGAAAAAGAGGUCCAGAGGUCUGGUUGAUGGCUGUGGUGGAAAAGCGAGUCUGAGCAAACUCAGACUCCUCGGCAAACCGAGUAAACACUCCACCUAAGUUGUCCCGCUCUGACCUUUUGCUUCCACAAAGCCCCCAGCCAAAACUACCGCCUCCAAACUACACCCCUAACCCGCCUCCAUUGCCACGCCUCUAGCCUGCCCUAUAAAAUGCCUAAUACUUCCGCAAUAAAGUAGAUCUGCACUACCAGCCUGGUCUCCGGUAUCCUCUUUCUUCACCGUCGCCGCUUACGAUGGGCCCACGUCCCUUGACCCAAGGAGGUUCAACCUCAAUGAGGACAGGCCCAUGGGAACCAGUCCACUUUCAACACUCAGGAGUCCUUUCACAUAUACAGCAAAUACCUGGCCUGCUGCUGCGAGAAAAACCAGAGCACCCAACACUGCACAGUCUAACCCAAAGAAGCUCACACAUGCAUCAAGAGGACCUGUCAGCCCUCCUGCUCACUGAACAGCAUGGUGAGGCUGGGGCUGCGGGUGCUGAGCCGGCAAAGGCAGGGCUCUGGCCACGGCGAGGUCGCCUCACUGG